AGCGACAUAAACAAUCCUUCGGGUGCGUUUAUGGGCGGCGAGCGGCGGACGGGUGAGUAAUGCCUGGGAAUAUGCCCUGAUGUGGGGGAUAACCAUUGGAAACGAUGGCUAAUACCGCAUAAUCUCUUCGGAGCAAAGAGGGGGACCUUCGGGCCUCUCGCGUCAGGAUUAGCCCAGGUGAGAUUAGCUAGUUGGUGAGGUAAGAGCUCACCAAGGCGACGAUCUCUAGCUGGUCUGAGAGGAUGAUCAGCCACACUGGAACUGAGACACGGUCCAGACUCCUACGGGAGGCAGCAGUGGGGAAUAUUGCACAAUGGGGGAAACCCUGAUGCAGCCAUGCCGCGUGUGUGAAGAAGGCCUUCGGGUUGUAAAGCACUUUCAGUCGUGAGGAAGGCAUAUGCGUUAAUAGCGCAUGUGUUUGACGUUAGCGACAGAAGAAGCAC
rnacentral:rRNA from 1 species